CUUGUCCUCAUGUGUAAGUCGCUUUGGAUAAAAGCGUCUGCUAAAUGACUAAAU
rfam:Danio rerio chromosome 13 genomic contig CTG1270, GRCz11 reference primary assembly.